GGCUUCAGGAGCCGGGUAAAAAAUUGAGAGCGCUCGCUUCACACGCGAGAGGUCGCUGGUUCGAAACCAGCCGUGCCCA
rnacentral:tRNA from 1 species